AACGAACGCUGGCGGCAGGCCUAACACAUGCAAGUCGAACGCAUCGCAAGAUGAGUGGCAGACGGGUGAGUAACGCGUGGAACAUACCCUUUUCUACGGAAUAGCUCUGGGAAACUGGAAUUAAUACCGUAUACGCCCUACGGGGGAAAGAUUUAUCGGGGAAGGAUUGGCCCGCGUUGGAUUAGCUAGUUGGUGGGGUAAAGGCCUACCAAGGCGACGAUCCAUAGCUGGUCUGAGAGGAUGAUCAGCCACAUUGGGACUGAGACACGGCCCAAACUCCUACGGGAGGCAGCAGUGGGGAAUAUUGGACAAUGGGCGCAAUCCUGAUCCAGCCAUGCCGCGUGAGUGAUGAAGGCCUUAGGGUUGUAAAGCUCUUUCACCGAUGAAGAUAAUGACGGUAGUCGGAGAAGAAGCCCCGGCUAACUUCGUGCCAGCCGCCGCAGUAAGAC
rnacentral:rRNA from 1 species